GGCAAGAUGGCCGAGCGGUCUAAGGCGCUAGGGUCAGGUACCUGAUCAUACAUAUUCAUCCGAAUAUUCCUAGUCUCGAAAGGGGCGUGGGUUCGAAUCCCACUCUUGUCA
rnacentral:tRNA from 1 species